ACGUAGGGGGCGAGCGUUGUUCGGAAUUACUGGGCGUAAAGGGCAUGUAGGCGGUCUUGUAAGCCUGACGUGAAAGGCUAUGGCUCAACCAUGGCACUGCGUUGGGAACUGCGAGACUAGAAUCAUGGAGAGGGAGCUGGAAUUCCAGGUGUAGGGGUGAAAUCUGUAGAUAUCUGGAAGAACACCAGUGGCGAAGGCGAGCUCCUGGCCAAUGAUUGACGCUGAGGUGCGAAAGUGUGGGGAUCAAACAGGAUUAGAGACCCUGGUAGUCCACACUGUCAACGAUGUGCACUAGGUGCCGGGGCGGACGCUUCGGUGCCGGAGCUAACGCGGUAAGUGCACCGCCUGGGGAGUAUGCUCGCAAGGGUG
rnacentral:rRNA from 1 species